rnacentral:rRNA from 1 species
CCUACGGGAGGCUGCAGUGGGGAAUAGUCUACAAUGGUCGAAAGACUGAUAGUGCGACGCCGCGUGAACGAAGAAUCCCUUCGGGGUGUAAAGUUCUUUUCUAUUCGAGCAAUGGUUUUUAUGUGAUAAGCAUGAGGACAGGGAUAUUAGGAUAGGAAUAAGCAACGGCUAACUCCGUGCCAGCAGCCGCGGUAACACGGGGGUUGCAAGCGUUGUCCGGAAUUACUAGGCGUAAAGGGCAGGUAGGCGGAUACGUAAGUUUUUUGUUAAAGGCACUGGCUUACCCAGUGUAAGGCAGGAGAUACUGCGUAUCUGGAAUGCGGUUGAGGAAGACAGAAUUCCUGGUGUAGCGGUGGAAUGCGCAGAGAUCAGGAGGAAUACCAAAGGCGAAGGCAGUCUUCUAAGCCGUUAUUGACGCUAAACUGCGAAGGUGUGGGUAUCAAACAGGAUUAGAUACCCCAGUAGUC